CUUGGAGAUCUGCCCUCGGAACUGCGUUGCUCUGGCGCCCGAACUAGGGUGGGCUGGUUUCAGCCAGACCGCCAAAAAACGUGGAUGCUAAACACAGAGGGAAGAGCCAGCUCCCAUUCCCUCUCUGAGCCUUAGAUUUUUUUGAAUUCCGAGAGAGGUCAGGCCGGGGUCCCCUUCUUGGGUGAGCGUCCAGCCCUUUGAAGUUCAAACACUGAGAAGCCGAUAGGCAGCUGGCUGGCGUCACAGGAUCGAGCCGAGGACUGAAGGCGCCUCCUACCGGGAAUCCACCGCCUCCAGACGAAAAUAGGCUGCAAUCAAGUUCACUUCCAAAGGCGGAAUUCAUGGGUACAUAUGGUGUCCACGUGUGUACACCUGCAGAGUUGUAACAUGCGGGCAUUUCUCCCCUCAGCCCGCCAUUCUGGCUUCUUAACUUGCACCCUAACAGCUCGACAGAACCUUGGCGUCCACAAAAAGGACUUGAGGUGGGACAUGGAAGAACAGGGACCCCUCCUGGUUUGUCCACCCAGCCCACACCUCCAUUCCUCACCCAACCUACCACUUCAGAGCCGGGAAAAGACCUCAGAGAACAUCCGCUCCGACUCUACCGAGGCUCAGACAGGACAACAAGAGUGUGCUGGACACUGGGAAAUGUGGUCCAGGAGCAGUCACAGUCCCUAUAGACCUCCCACAAAUUACCGUAAUGCAAAGCAGUGAACACUUGGGAGAGCUCCUUCACUCACCGACUCUCAUCAGGAAAAUAGUGAUAGCAUGAACCCCUCCAGAUGGUUUUAGGAUUAAAAGAGAUACUUGUGCAAAGCCUCAGCAUACGGUAAGUGGUUGGAACAAACAUAUGCAUAGAAUCUUAGCUGCCAAUUAUUAGGAGGACUCAGCCCUCUCCUCCUGGGGGGUGCACUGUGAGGCUUAGAAAGACUAAGGGAGACCCAGCCCCUCACCUCCAUCCCACACGAGGCUCUACCCUUCCUUGGGGGCCGGGUCUUCCUUUCUUGACUCCCCUCAAUGCCAGGGCUGCCUGGGGUGCCGGAGAUCAACCACAGAAAGAAGCCCUGCUUGGUUCAAGUGAAUUGAGGGGAGCUGGGCAUUUCCCACCGGUUUGAUGAAGCUCCUCUCCAGCUUCAUUCCCUGCCACUGGGAAUCAGCGGCACAACUUGCAACCAACAUGGCUGAAAACAGGCAUCUUGGGCAGAUUCUACCUGACACCUUAGUUGGCAGCCAAUCAGUUGUGCCCUGGCUACCCUAGUGCCACC
rnacentral:lncRNA from 1 species